rnacentral:tRNA from 1 species
GUCCCCAUAGUUCAACUGGAUAGAACGGGGGUUUCCUAAACCUCUGAUGCAGGUUCGAUUCCUGCUGGGGAUACCA